rnacentral:rRNA from 1 species
GCAUAUCAAUAAGCGGAGGAAAAGAAACCAACAGGGAUUGCCCUAGUAACGGCGAGUGAAGCGGCAACAGCUCAAAUUUGAAAUCUGGCUCUUUUAGAGUCCGAGUUGUAAUUUGCAGAGGGCGCUUUGGCUUUGGCAGCGGUCCAAGUUCCUUGGAACAGGACGUCACAGAGGGUGAGAAUCCCGUACGUGGUCGCUGGCUAUUGCCGUGUAAAGCCCCUUCGACGAGUCGAGUUGUUUGGGAAUGCAGCUCUAAAUGGGAGGUACAUUUCUUCUAAAGCUAAAUAUUGGCCAGAGACCGAUAGCGCACAAGUAGAGUGAUCGAAAGAUGAAAAGCACUUUGGAAAGAGAGUCAAACAGCACGUGAAAUUGUUGAAAGGGAAGCGCUUGCAGCCAGACUUGCUUACAGUUGCUCAUCCGGGUUUUUACCCGGUGCACUCUUCUGUAGGCAGGCCAGCAUCAGUUUGGGCGGUAGGAUAAAGGUCUCUGUCACGUACCUCCUUUCGGGGAGGCCUUAUAGGGGAGACGACAUACUACCAGCCUGGACUGAGGUCCGCGCAUCUGCUAGGAUGCUGGCGUAAUGGCUGUAAGCGGCCCGUCUUGAAACACGGACCAAGGAGUCUAACAUCUAUGCGAGUGUUUGGGUGUCAAGCCCGAGCGCGUAAUGAAAGUGAACGGAGGUGGGAACCCGCAAGGGUGCACCAUCGACCGAUCCUGAUGUCUUCGGAAGGAUUUGAGUAAGAGCAUGGCUGUUGGGACCCGAAAGAUGGUGAACUAUGCUUGAAUAGGGUGAAGCCAGAGGAAACUCUGGUGGAGGCUCGCAGCGGUUCUGACGUGCAAAUCGAUMGUCAAAUUUGGGCAUAGGGCGAAAGU